UGCUUGGGAAUAUGCCUUGAGGUGGGGGACAACAGUUGGAAACGACCGCUAAUACCGCAUAAUGUCUACGGACCAAAGGAGGGGAUCUUCGGACCUUUCGCCUUUAGAUUAGCCCAAGUGAGAUUAGCUAGAUGGUGGGGUAAUGGCCUACCAUGGCGACGAUCUCUAGCUGGUUUGAGAGGAUGAUCAGCCACACUGGGACUGAGACACGGCCCAGACUCCUACGGGAGGCAGCAGUGGGGAAUAUUGCACAAUGGGCGAAAGCCUGAUGCAGCCAUGCCGCGUGUGUGAAGAAGGCCU
rnacentral:rRNA from 1 species